ACGGGAGGCAGCAGUGGGGAAUAUUGGACAAUGGGCGCAAGCCUGAUCCAGCCAUGCCGCGUGAGUGAUGAAGGCCCUAGGGUUGUAAAGCUCUUUCACCGGUGAAGAUAAUGACGGUAACCGGAGAAGAAGCCCCGGCUAACUUCGUGCCAGCAGCCGCGGUAAUACGAAGGGGGCUAGCGUUGUUCGGAUUUACUGGGCGUAAAGCGCACGUAGGCGGACUAUUAAGUCAGGGGUGAAAUCCCGGGGCUCAACCCCGGAACUGCCUUUGAUACUGGUAGUCUUGAGUUCGAGAGAGGUGAGUGGAAUUCCGAGUGUAGAGGUGAAAUUCGUAGAUAUGCGGAGGAACACCAGUGGCGAAGGCGGCUCACUGGCUCGAUACUGACGCUGAGGUGCGAAAGCGUGGGGAGCAAACAGGAUUAGAAACCCCGGUAGUCCCAUGA
rnacentral:rRNA from 1 species